rnacentral:rRNA from 1 species
UACGGAGGGAGCUAGCGUUGUUCGGAAUUACUGGGCGUAAAGCGCACGUAGGCGGCUUUGUAAGUUAGAGGUGAAAGCCCGGAGCUCAACUCCGGAAUUGCCUUUAAGACUGCAUCGCUAGAAUUGUGGAGAGGUAAGUGGAAUUCCGAGUGUAGAGGUGAAAUUCGUAGAUAUUCGGAAGAACACCAGUGGCGAAGGCGACUUACUGGACACAUAUUGACGCUGAGGUGGCGAAAAGCGUGGGGAGCAAAC